rnacentral:rRNA from 2 species
AGACCCGAAACCCGGUGAUCUAGCCAUGGGCAGGUUGAAGGUUGGGUAACACUAACUGGAGGACCGAACCGACUAAUGUUGAAAAAUUAGCGGAUGACCUGUGGCUGGGGGUGAAAGGCCAAUCAAACCGGGAGAUAGCUGGUUCUCCCCGAAAGCUAUUUAGGUAGCGCCUCGUGAAUUCAUCUCCGGGGGUAGAGCACUGUUUCGGCUAGGGGGCCAUCCCGGCUUACCAACCCGAUGCAAACUGCGAAUACCGGAGAAUGUUAUCACGGGAGACACACGGCGGGUGCUAACGUCCGUCGUGAAGAGGGAAACAACCCAGACCGCCAGCUAAGGUCCCAAAGUCAUGGUUAAGUGGGAAACGAUGUGGGAAGGCCCAGACAGCCAGGAUGUUGGCUUAGAAGCAGCCAUCAUUUAAAGAAAGCGUAAUAGCUCACUGGUCGAGUCGGCCUGCGCGGAAGAUGUAACGGGGCUAAACCAUGCACCGAAGCUGCGGCAGCGAACGUAUCACUUAAAGCGAUUCAGCGGGUUACGAUUGACGGAGCGAAGCGACGUCAAAGCGUAUACAAAGUCGAGUCGGUUUAAGGAUACGUUCGUUGGGUAG